rnacentral:rRNA from 1 species
CGAACGGGUGAGUAACGCGUGAGGAACCCGCCUCAAAGAGGGGGACAACAGUUGGAAACGACUGCUAAUACCGCAUAAGCCCACAGCUCGGCAUCGAGCAGAGGGAAAAGGAGCAAUCCGCUUUGAGAUGGCCUCGCGUCCGAUUAGCUAGUUGGUGAGGUAACGGCCCACCAAGGCGACGAUCGGUAGCCGGACUGAGAGGUUGAACGGCCACAUUGGGACUGAGACACGGCCCAG